UACGGGGGAUGCAAGCGUUAUCCGGAAUCAUUGGGCGUAAAGCGCCUGUAGGUUGUUUAAUAAGUCUGUUGUUAAAGCCUAGGGCUUAACCCUAGAAAAGCAAUGGAAACUACUAGACUAGAGUAUGGCAGGGGUAGAGGGAAUUUCUAGUGUAGCGGUGAAAUGCGUAGAUAUUAGAAAGAACACCGGUGGCGAAAGCGCUCUACUGGACCAUUACUGACACUCAGAGGCGAAAGCUAGGGUAGCAAAAGGGAUUAGAUACCCCUGUAGUCCUAGCCGUAAACGAUGGAUACUAGAUGUUGUGCUUCAUGUACAGUAUCGUAGCUAACGCGUUAAGUAUCCCGCCUGGGGAGUACGCUCGCAAGGGUG
rnacentral:rRNA from 1 species